UACGUAGGUGGCAAGCGUUGUCCGGAUUUACUGGGCGUAAAGGGCGUGCAGGCGGUCUGUUAAGUCUAGGGUGAAAGCUCCCGGCUCAACUGGGAGAGGUCCUUGGAUACUGGCGGACUUGAGGGAGGCAGAGGAAAGUGGAAUUCCCGGUGUAGUGGUGAUAUGCGUAGAUAUCGGGAGGAACACCAGUGGCGAAGGCGGCUUUCUGGGCAGUACCUGACGCUGAGACGCGAAAGCGUGGGGAGCGAACCGG
rnacentral:rRNA from 1 species